GCGUGCCAAAACACAUCACGUUCAUGCAAAUAUGUAUGUAUGUAUGUAGAUACCGCUCGACAAAAAAUAAUUAAUUUUCAAACCGGGAACCAGGACUUAUUUGCACGUGAGUACAAAACACGGCCGAACUUUCCGACACGUAGUCGGAAUAAUGUUUUCCGUACACGUCCGAACAUGCCUGGAGGGGGUCCCGCGCGGAAUAGCAAACCAGCCACUGUAUUAAUUCUGAUUUGUUCAAAAUACCCGCCGAACUCGGCCUAGCUAUUAUAUGCACACAGACAUACACACACACACACCCAGUUGAGUUAUAUGCGCGUAUUAUGCUUUUAUAUUCGCAAGCCGCCACUAAAGUGUUGUUUGUUGAUGUUUUGCGCAGUCUAAAUAGGGCCGCAAGGAGGGCUUUUUAUUAUUUCGGUAAACGUAAAUUUUGAACUUUAUUGUUUCUAUGGUGGAAUUUAUGCUACCUUAUUUCGUGCAUAACUUAACGCGGUCCGAUGCACGUAUUUUUAGACUCAUCUCCAACAUUCUGCAAGCCUUCUCUUGGAAUAGAUCCAUACUUCGUAAUAAAUUCGUUGACAAAGAUAAUCAAGCUUAACUGUUUUUUCUUGCUUGCUACAGGUCAAUAUAAAAUUUAUGAUUGCAAUUUACAGUCAAAAAAGUCAAAAGUAACUAUUUGGAUAUUUGUGGGGACCAGUGGAUUGAGAGAAUAGGUCCAAAGCAAUAGCCGGCAAGAUCACCAGAUCUAACACCCCUCGACUUUUUCUCUGGGCUCACUAGAUUUACUCGAUGAUCUUCCGCAACUUAUUACUACAGACUAAGCAUCUAGUCCAAGGGACGUAUUUCAAAAUGUGAAUUUAAAAAUGGGAUAUACUAUGGUUUAGCCCAAAAUGGAAUGCAUUUUGAGAAUGUAAUUAAAUAAAGUAACACUUUAUAA